rnacentral:rRNA from 1 species
GACAGAGGUGCCGAGCGUUAGGCGGAAUCACUGGGCUUAAAGCGUGUGUAGGCGGGUUUGUAAGUACCUUGUGAAAUCCCACGGCUCAACCGUGGAACUGCUUGGUAUACUGCGAAUCUUGAGCCACCUAGGGGCAACCGGAACAAAUGGUGGAGCGGUGAAAUGCGUAGAUAUCAUUUGGAACGCCAAUGGUGAAAACAGGUUGCUGGGGGUGUGCUGACGCUGAGACACGAAAGCCAGGGGAGCGAACGGG